CAGGUUUGACAGUCUGGAAGAGAUGCCCUCUGACCAUCUGCUCUGGUGGACCACUCAUCCACCCAUACAUCCAAGCUUCAGAUGUGAGUUCCCACCUUUAAGGAAAAUUUCCUCAGUCUGGUUCAGAGCCUCGUCAUGCAGUUUUGCUGGCAGAAAUGAGUGGAAAGAGCACUUUGGUAUGGAGGGGAAAUGAGCAACAGAGGGUGAAAGGUGUCUUGGCAGAUACUUCCAAUCUGUGUCCUUAUCUCACAGUUUCCAGCCAUCUUCAAAGACUUUUCCAGCUUCUUGUGUUUUGCAAGUUCAAAAUCCUGCAGCAUCCUGGUACUGAAAAUGUGGGAAUGAACAAAAUAAUUGGAGUUCAAUGACAGUCUUUUUCCUCUAACUGGGAUGCCUGCUAGCUCAUGGCUGCUUUUCUUAUAGAUGAUCACUGGCUCAUUAAUCAAGUGAACUGCUAAUGAAUUAGUCAUUGACUCUUACAUUUUAAAAAGUGAGAGAGAGAGAUACAAGUCUGGGGAGACCCAAGGAAUUCUUCUCAAGUGAGAAAAAGAUUGAAAUGGAGUCCAGAGAGUUGGUUAGCUGGUCACAAGCAUCUUGGAAGUCUGUAAAGGCAGGGAAGGAUGAGGGAAGAGCAAAGGAAGGUAGAGAGAAGCAUAGGUGAGCAGGUAAGCACCAGUAUCCACGGAUGCUGAUACAGAUGUGAAAUGUAAGCAGACAAAUGUCAUUGCUUUUGAGUAAUUUCCAUUCGGAAGGACCUGAAGACCUGAAGACCAUUGGGCAUAAGGUUUUGUGGGUGGAGGGAAAUCUGUUAACAAAAAGGGUUAUGAAAGUGAUAAAAUAAUGAAAAAUACAGGGGAAAAGUUCCUGAGUGAAAAUCAAAUGCAGUCCAACAUGAACCAGUCAUCACUGUGGUUGGCAAAGCCUAGUUCGAGCCAGACCUUGGCUGGGAAGUGGACAGGUGAUGGACACAGCUGGUCUCUGGCUUCUGGAUUGGCUUCUGGAUGCUGAAGAAGGUACUUUGAUGGGCAGAUAUAUAUUGACAAGACUUUUCUUCCACCCAAGCCUUGGAGUGAGGGAAAUCAGGGCAAGGGAGACGAUGCAACAGAACCUCUCCUGCAGGGUCUCUUCUCUCUGUAUUUCGUAUAAAAUAACUCCAGCUCAGUGUCUUUUUUGGGCUUUCAUUUUUUCCCCUUCAGAAGUAAAAAUAAGCACACAUUUAUAUUGCAGUUUACAUUCUCCUGAACAUAAUUUUCUUCUCUGUAAGAAAAAAAUGGGGAAAGGAAAGAAGACACUAGGGUAGAACUGAAAUGCAAAAUGUACAAAAGGCUUCUGCAUAUGCUUCUUGAAUUUGCAGCCAUUCUCGAGAGGCAGGAGAUAAGGUGGCUUAGGGAAUGCAGCUGAGUCCGGAGAGGCAUUUAUUUAAGAUUGAUAUCAAACCUUGGAAUUGCGAGUGGGAGGUUUUUUUUUGAGGAAGGAACAGGAUGUUGCCAGGAGGGAGAGAGGCUGGCUAGGAUGAUUUAUUAUAAGAGGUCAGUAGCAGGAAGUCACUGGAGAUAUGCGAUGGUCUAAAACGCAGGCCAAGGAACCCGGGUGAGGACACUGCUUUCUGCUCCGAGAUUCUGGCUCCUCAAAAUAGAGCCAAUAAAGUGACUGGGUGGUCUAAUUUAGGGUCAUCUUUGGUGGUCCUGCAUACUAGAUGUGUUUUGGUCAGCUCCCUUGUCUGCAUGUCUCCGUGCGCAAUGACCCAUCCUGUUCUUGGGUCUGUUGCACAGGCUUGUACCGUUAAAAA